UACGUAGGGUGCGAGCGUUAAUCGGAAUUACUGGGCGUAAAGCGUGCGCAGGCGGUUCGUUAAGUCAGAUGUGAAAGCCCCGAGCUCAACUUGGGAACUGCAUUUGAAACUGGCGGGCUGGAGUGUGGCAGAGGGGGGUGGAAUUCCACGUGUAGCAGUGAAAUGCGUAGAUAUCAGGAGGAACACCUGUGGUGUAGACAGCUUACUGGACCAUUUCUGACGCUGAGACACGAAAGCGUGGGUAGCAAACAGG
rnacentral:rRNA from 1 species